UCGGGCCUCUUGCCAUCGGAUGUGCCCAGAUGGGAUUAGCUAGUAGGUGGGGUAACGGCUCACCUAGGCGACGAUCCCUAGCUGGUCUGAGAGGAUGACCAGCCACACUGGAACUGAGACACGGUCCAGACUCCUACGGGAGGCAGCAGUGGGGAAUAUUGCACAAUGGGCGCAAGCCUGAUGCAGCCAUGCCGCGUGUAUGAAGAAGGCCUUCGGGUUGUAAAGUACUUUCAGCGGGGAGGAAGGGAGUAAAGUUAAUACCUUUGCUCAUUGACGUUACCCGCAGAAGAAGCACCGGCUAACUCCGUGCCAGCAGCCGCGGUAAUACGGAGGGUGCAAGCGUUAAUCGGAAUUACUGGGCGUAAAGCGCACGCAGGCGGUUUGUUAAGUCAGAUGUGAAAUCCCCGGGCUCAACCUGGGAACUGCAUCUGAUACUGGCAAGCUUGAGUCUCGUAGAGGGGGGUAGAAUUCCAGGUGUAGCGGUGAAAUGCGUAGAGAUCUGGAGGAAUACCGGUGGCGAAGGCGGCCCCCUGGACGAAGACUGAC
rnacentral:rRNA from 1 species